rnacentral:rRNA from 1 species
CGAAUGCUGACAUAAGUAACGAUAAAGCGGGUGAAAAGCCCGCUCGCCGGAAGACCAAGGGUUCCUGUCCAACGUUAAUCGGGGCAGGGUGAGUCGACCCCUAAGGCGAGGCCGAAAGGCGUAGUCGAUGGGAAACAGGUUAAUAUUCCUGUACUUGGUGUUACUGCGAAGGGGGGACGGAGAAGGCUAUGUUGGCCGGGCGACGGUUGUCCCGGUUUAAGCGUGUAGGCUGGUUUUCCAGGCAAAUCCGGAAAAUCAAGGCUGAGGCGUGAUGACGAGGCACUACGGUGCUGAAGCAACAAAUGCCCUGCUUCCAGGAAAAGCCUCUAAGCAUCAGGUAACAUCAAAUCGUACCCCAAACCGACACAGGUGGUCAGGUAGAGAAUACCAAGGCGCUUGAGAGAACUCGGGUGAAGGAACUAGGCAAAAUGGUGCCGUAACUUCGGGAGAAGGCACGCUGAUAUGUAGGUGAAGUCCCUCGCGGAUGGAGCUGAAAUCAGUCGAAGAUACCAGCUGGCUGCAACUGUUUAUUAAAAACACAGCACUGUGCAAACACGAAAGUGGACGUAUACGGUGUGACGCCUGCCCGGUGCCGGAAGGUUAAUUGAUGGGGUUAGCCGCAA